rnacentral:rRNA from 1 species
AUCAUUUAGCGGAGGAAAAGAAACUAACAAGGAUUCCCUUAGUAACGGCGAGUGAACGGGGAGAAGCCCAGCGCUGAAUCUUUCGGUGUUACACCGUUAAGAAAUGUAGCGUAUAGGUGUGGUUUUCAGUUUGUGCUGCAUGUCCAAAGUCCCUUUGAUAGGGGCCACAUUCCUGAGAGGGUGCGAGACCUGUGCGGACAGUGGAGCAAGCUGUACGAUCAUACCUUGGAGUCGGGUUGCUUGAAAGUGCAGCCUAAAGUGGGUGAUAAACUUCAUCUAAGGCUAAAUAUAGACGCGAAUUCGAUAGCAAACAAGUACUGUGAAGGAAAGUUGCAAAGAACUUUGAAGAGAGAGUUCAAGAGAACGUGAAAUCGCUGGAGUGGAACCGGAGAGAGUUGACGUAGCCGGGUAACUAAGUCUACUAAUGUCGCUUAAUUGUGACUGCGGGAGAUGUAUGUUGCCUAUGGCUGCGCUGACAGCGCUGGCCGUGCGUUCCGAACCGUUUAGCGUUGCCCACCGUUUCGGCGGUGGUGUCUUGCUGGCGGAUAGGUUUGUCGUGGCUAGCGUUUUUGCCCUACUUCAUUGUAGGGUGUCAGUGUGAAAGUCGACCACCUCUCCGAC